rnacentral:lncRNA from 1 species
AAUAUUUAGAGUUGAAUUGGCGAGUAUCGACCUCAGAACAAACUCAAGAGAGUAUUGUUAGAUAGAACAGGUCCUUCUGAAAUUAGUUUCAAAUUAAAGUACCAGCAAAGCCUUAAAAUUUAUUAAAAUUGAGCACAAUAUCAAAUAGGACAUUUAUAUGUUAGUCGGCACCCUCCCCUCAACCCAACCCAUGCAGCAAGGA